rnacentral:rRNA from 1 species
GACAGAGGGUGCAAACGUUGUUCGGAAUUACUGGGCGUAAAGCGUGCGCAGGCGGUUCGUUGUGUCGGUGGUGAAAUCCCCGGGCUUAACCUGGGAAUGGCCAUGGAAACUGGCGAACUGGAGUGUGGCAGAGGGGGGUGGAAUUCCGCGUGUAGCAGUGAAAUGCGUAGAGAUGCGGAGGAACACCGAUGGCGAAGGCAGCCCCCUGGGCUAGCACUGACGCUCAGGCACGAAAGCGUGGGGAGCAAACAGG